rnacentral:rRNA from 1 species
GACGUAGGGCGCGAGCGUUGUCCGGAUUUAUUGGGCGUAAAGAGCUCGUAGGCGGCUUGUCGCGUCGACUGUGAAAACCCGUGGCUCAACCAUGUGGUCUGCAGUCGAUACGGGCAGGCUAGAAUUCGGUAGGGGAGACUGGAAUUCCUGGUGUAGCGGUGAAAUGCGUAGAGAUCAGGCAGAACACCUGGGGCGAAGGCGGCCAGCUGGGCCGUCCCUGACGCUGAGGCGCGAAGGCGUGGGGAGCGAACGGG